CGGACGGGUGAGUAACGCGUGAGAAUCUGCCUCUAGGUCGGGGACAACAACUGGAAACGGUUGCUAAUACCCGAUGUGCAGCAAUGUGAAAGAUUUAUUGCCUAGAGAUGAGCUCGCGUCUGAUUAGCUAGUAGGUGUGGUAAUGGCGCACCUAGGCGACGAUCAGUAACUGGUCUGAGAGGAUGACCAGUCACACUGGGACUGAGACACGGCCCAGACUCCUACGGGAGGCAGCAGUGGGGAAUUUUCCGCAAUGGGCGAAAGCCUGACGGAGCAAUACCGCGUGAGGGACGAAGGCUUUUGGGUCGUAAACCUCUUUUCCCUGAGAAGAAGAUCUGACGGUAUCAGGGGAAUCAGCAUCGGCUAACUUCGUGCCAGCAGCCGCGGUAAUACGAGGGAUGCAAGCGUUAUCCGGAAUUAUUGGGCGUAAAGCGUCCGCAGGUGGCUCUGUAAGUCUGUCGUUAAAGAAUGGGGCUCAACCCCAUACAGGCGAUGGAAACUACAAGGCUAGAGUUUGGUAGGGGUCACGGGAAUUCUUAGUGUAGCGGUGAAAUGCGUAGAUAUUAAGAAGAACACCAGCGGCGAAAGCGCGUGACUGGGCCAGUACUGACACUCAUGGACGAAAGCUAGGGGAGCGAAAGGGAUUAGAUACCCCUGUAGUC
rnacentral:rRNA from 1 species